AGAUAUGUUGAGUACGUCUGUCAGAGGCGGGUUUCCGGUUCCUGUGGGCUAGUCCCUCAGUUAUUGCUACGUGUCUCUGGCCUCUGCUAGGGACUGCAGAAGCAUCAUGGAUCAGGUAAUGCAAUUUGUUGAGCCAAGUCGGCAGUUUGUGAAGGACUCGAUUCGGCUAGUUAAAAGAUGUACCAAACCUGACAGAAAAGAAUUCCAGAAGAUUGCCAUGGCAACAGCAAUAGGAUUUGCUAUAAUGGGAUUCAUUGGCUUUUUUGUGAAAUUGAUCCAUAUCCCUAUUAAUAACAUCAUUGUUGGUGGCUGAGUGUCGUUCCAGAAGAGUGUUUUUCAUCUUGGGAAUUGAUGAACAAUUGAGAAUUUGAGAAGCUCAUGGAGUAAAAUUUUGUUUGCCUAUAUAUUUUGUGUUUUUCAUUUUAUUUCUUCCAAGAUGUUUUCUAUUUCUAAAUUAAAAGUAUU